CCUCAAGAUUUUGUUGAAGUCUAAAAAUUCUUGAAAAAUGGGGAGUUAUAGAGUAUGUGUGUGUUUUACAAGAAAAUUCAGAGUAACAGAAGCAGAGCCACCAUCAGAUGUAAAAGAAGCAUUCAAGAAAUACACUGAAAAUGGUAACCAAAUGAAUUCAGAACAGUUACUGAAAUUCUUGAUUGAAGUACAAGGAGAGACCCUUUUGACUGUUGGUGAUGCUGAUGCCAUUAUUCGUCAGAUCCUUCAGAAAAGACACCCCAUUACUAAGUUAACUCGUCAAACUCUUGCUCUUGAAGAUUUUCAUCAUUUCCUCUUCAAUACUGAACUUAAUCCACCAAUUAAUUAUAAGGUAAUUUUGCUUUUGUUGUUGGAUCUUUUUCCUUAUUUAGAAAGAGUUUUAGUUCUGUCUAGUAGAUUGUUUUACCUUGUAUUCUUGCUUUUAUUGUUGGAUCUUUGUCUUAUUUAGAAAAUGUUUAAGUUCUGUGAACUAAUGUGUGUUUGGAUUUUUUCACCUACAAUAAAAGGAUGGUACUUUUUUCCUUAUUUUGAAAGAGUUAAAGUUCUGUGUAGUAGAUUUUUUACCUACAGUAAAAGGUAGGAGUAAUUCUUUGUAUGUUUGGUGUGGUAACACGUAAAAAAAUCUUUAUGCUGUUAGUGUAUUCUUGCUUUUAUUGUGGGAUCUUUGUCUUAUUUAGAAAAAGUUUAAGUUCUGUGCACUAAUGUGUGUGUGGAAUUUUUCACCUACAAUAAAAGGUAAUUGCUUCAUAUGUCUUGAUAUGGUAAUAUGGAAAAUUGAGUCAGUUAAAUUGAAGUGAUUGUGUAAAAAGAAUUUAUGCUGUCUGUGUAUUCUUGCUUUUUUCACUGUUCUUUGAGCAUAUGGAUAUGCCUCACUUGUGGAAUUACAUUGGGUUUGUUAUUGUAUUCUUGCUUUUAUUGUUGGAUCUUUGUUCUUAUCUAGAAAUAGUUUAAGUUCCGUGCAGUGACGUAAUAUAGAAUAUUUGCACCAUUAACUUGGCCUACAAUAAGGGGUAGUUCUUCAUAUCUAGUCUAAGUCUGCUUUGGUAACGUGGAGAAACUAGAGCCGGUUAAAUUGAAGUGAAUUGUAAAAGUACGUUACACUGUGUGGUGUAUGUAACUGGAAUCCAUUUGGGAAAAGCAUGAAGUUUGAAACUUUGAGUGAAUUUUCUCAAUUUGGGUUUCGCUUUGGGUUGAAUUCAUUACAUUGUUAUCAUUUAAGCAUUGUUUUAAGUAUCUAUUUUCUGUACAAAGAUAAGUCACCAAGCUCUUACUCUUGAAGUUUCACCACUGUCUCCUAUGCUGAUCUUCAUCCCUCAAUAAAUUCUAAGGUAGACUGUUUUUAUUGUUGGAUCUUUGUCUUAUUUGGAAAUGCAUAAAGUUUGAGACUUCGAGUGAAUUUCCCUUUUUGAGUUUCUCAGAGAUUGAAAGUCAGUUCUUUUUUUACCAAUUAAGCAUUAUUUGGAGUGUCUACUUUCUAUACAUUACCCUUAUGGGAAUUGGGGUAACCAAAAAAGUAGGAGGUUUUAAAACCUGAAUAUUAUUAGAGAUGUGGAAAAUUUAAAAAAAAAGGAGGGUGCGGGGAGGGGGGCCACCCGGUGAAUGAGUUAUUCUGCGUCCGCCGGUUCUGGGGAAGGGCCGCACCCCAAGGCGGUGUGAUAUAAGCAGCCUACCCUAAUGCAAGCAUGAGUGGAUGAUUCUACGGCUCGAACCCGUGACCUAUAGGUCACAUGGAGACAACUUUACCCUUGGGCCCCCUUCAUGUGGAAAAUAAGCAACUUAUCUUUUUCUUCUUUGGAUCUUUAAUAGACUAAAGUGGCUUCCCUAACUACAAACAUAAAAAUGUACAGCAUUCUCAAUAAGAUGAUCACUAACUAGGUGUUCUGCGUCCGCAGGAUUGGGGGAAGGGCCGCACCCCAAGGCGGUGUGAUAUAAGAAGCCUACCCUAAUGUAAGCAUGAGUGGCUGAUUCUACGGCUCGAACCUGUGACCUAUAGGUCACAUGGAGAGAACUUUACCCUUGGGCCCCCUUCAUGCGGAAAAUGAGCAACUUAUCUUAUUCUUCUUUGGAUCUUUAAUAGACUAAAGUGGCUUCCCUAACUACAAACAUAAAAAUGUAGGGCAUUCUCAAUAAGAUGAUCACUAACUAGAGCAUUCUUCAAUAAUAUCAUCACUAACUUGGUUGUAGUGUUAAUGAGCAACUGUUGAAUGGAUAGAGAUGAUUAUAUAGCCGAAUUCAAGUAUAUUGGUAUUGAGGCAUAGUCUUGGUUGAUUGAUUGAUGGUUAUGUAUAUGUGUUUCUUGAAAGGCCUUUAACUCAUUACAUUUGCACUUUCAGGUUCACCAUGAUAUGAAUGCUCCACUUUCCCAUUAUUUUAUCUUCACGGGGCAUAAUUCUUACUUGACUGGAAAUCAGCUGACGAGUGAUUGCAGUGAUGUCCCAAUUAUAAAAGCGCUGAAAAAGGGUGUAAGGGUGAUUGAGCUUGAUAUAUGGCCAAAUUCUGACAAGGAUGACAUACACGUACUUCACGGAAGGUUUGUGUAUCUCUUGCCUGCUGUUGCAUUUUAUUGACCGCCUAGUUAUUAGAGUAGUCUGUCUCCAAGCAAGUCUCUCUUUCCUAAAAUUAGUUGCCUAAACCCUCUGGCAAUUUUGGACUGAUUGAACUAUUGAAGAUUUUAUAUGGUCUUUAUUAGAGAAUUGUUUUAAGCUUCUCGGUAUGUACACCAGCAACACCAGCAAAUAAGAGACGACUAUUCAUGGGUUCUAAUAUGCUACCUGAAUAAUUUAGUGGUAUAAGCACAUGCUUUUGCCAAAGGUGGAAAAGGUGGCGUUGUGUAAGUCAUUGAUUUUUGGAGAUCAUAAUACCUUCAGCUUACUCUAGUUAGAUACAAGAGACAUUAUAUUCUUCUAAAAUCAAUACUCUGCUCUAACCAUCAUAAAGUUUAUUUCUUACCAUCAUGUUUUCUCAUAAUAUCAUAUGAAGCUGGAGAGGUAAACUGAGCGCCGAAUUGUACUAGGAGUUAUUACUUAAAAUAAGCCAAAAAAUAAAAUAUGCCUUAAUUAGCUCAUAAAGAAACUAUUGACUUAUCCUCUGAAAGUGGACAGAGAUAUCAGUCAGCUAUAGAAGAAUGAUAACAUGCUCAUUCCAAAAGCUUUAAAUUGAAUUUUAAUACUUCACCUUGUACUUUUUUGGUGGAAGCAACUUAAUGUGAGGUUUUGGGAUGAUAACCACUGGAUGUAAAUGUGGGCGUAAUUGAAUGUCUUUUAGUUGUGUUCUUAUCUUUAUGUGGUUUUUAGUAGCAGCAAAAAUAGUUCAUGCGGUGAUAAUUAAAAAUUGUCCCUGAACCCUCUGUCACUUGUGAAAGCCUUGUUGAUUGUAUUAGUUUGUUGAGUAGAUUUAUUGACUGGAAAUAUAUCCUUACUUGCAUAUAGAGUCAAUCACUAUAUGGUGCAAGUAUUAUGCCAUCUGUCACUCAUUCCGGCUUUUCCUUAUUGUGAAAAACAUGAUUAAUUAUGUCUUGACAUAUUUAACAAGUAGCUUCGGUGUUCUUUUUUUCCCUUUUUCUUUUUUCAAUGAAGUACUGAAAUUGAUUAACCUUCUUUUCUUGUGUUCAAAGUUUUUAUUUUAUUUUAUUUGAUUGGUAAGUUCUUCUUUUCAAAAGGUGAAGCUUUGAAUUGGUGUUGUGCUCUAGAUUGGAGUUUUGGAAUUGAACGUAUGGUGAUUAUAAAUUACUAAUUGACUUGUUUGAACUCCUUGCACCUUCAUCCCAAAUCUUUAUGUAAGGUCAAAAAUGAGGGACAAUAAGACGUCCAUUGUUAGUUGUAUAUAUUGGAGCAUUUACAUUUUCUAAUUUUCUCAUUACUUCCCACAAAAUAUUUAUAAGUAGUUUUUUUGGCAAAUGCAGGACA
rnacentral:lncRNA from 1 species